rnacentral:rRNA from 1 species
AGAGGAAGUAAAAGUCGUAACAAGGUUUCCGUAGGUGAACCUGCGGAAGGAUCAUUAUUGAAAUAAACCUGAUAAGUUGUUGCUGGUUCUCUAGGGAGCAUGUGCACACUUGUCAUCUUUGUAUCUCCACCUGUGCACCUUUUGUAGACCUUGGGUAUCUAUCUGAUUGCUUUAGCAACUCAGGAUUGAGGAUUGACUUUCUGUCUCUUCUUACAUUUCCAGGCCUAUGUUUUUCAAAUACCCUAAUGUAUGUUUAUAGAAUGUAAUCAAAUAGGCCUUUGUGCCUAUAAAUUGAUACAACUUUCAGCAACGGAUCUCUUGGCUCUCGCAUCGAUGAAGAACGCAGCGAAAUGCGAUAAGUAAUGUGAAUUGCAGAAUUCAGUGAAUCAUCGAAUCUUUGAACGCACCUUGCGCUCCUUGGUAUUCCGAGGAGCAUGCCUGUUUGAGUGUCAUUAAUAUAUCAACCUUUUUUUUUUUGGUUGGAUGUGGGUUUGCUGGCCACUUUAGAGGUCAGCUCUCCUUAAAUGCAUUAGCGGACAAUAUUUUGCCAAACGUUUCAUUGGUGUGAUAAUUAUCUACACUAUUGAUGUGAAGCAAGGUUCAGCUUCUAACAGUCCAUUGACUUGGACAAUUUUUUAUUUAUUAAUGUGACCUCAAAUCAGGUAGGACUACCCGCUGAACUUAAGCAUAUCAAUAAGCGGAGGAAAAGAAACUAACAAGGAUUCCCCUAGUAACUGCGAGUGAAGCGGGAAAAGCUCAAAUUUAAAAUCUGGCAGUCUUUGGCUGUCCGAGUUGUAAUCUAGAGAAGCAUUAUCCGCGCUGGACCGUGUACAAGUCUCCUGGAAUGGAGCGUCAUAGAGGGUGAGAAUCCCGUCUUGAAACACGGACCAG